rnacentral:rRNA from 1 species
AACGAACGCUGGCGGCGUGUUUAAGACAUGCAAGUCGCACGGUGUGGAGUUGUAGCAAUACUACGAAGCACAGUGGCGCACGGGUGAGUAACACGUGAAUUACAUGCCCUUAAGAGAGGGAUAGCCCAGGGAAACUUGGAUUAAUACCUCAUAGUCUCGCAAGAGUAAAGGUGGCAGCAAUGCUAUCGCUUAAGGAUUGGUUCGCGCCCUAUCAGUUAGUUGGUGAGGUAACGGCUCACCAAGGCGAUGACGGGUACCUGGUCUGAGAGGACGAUCAGGCACACUGGAACUGAGACACGGUCCAGACACCUACGGGUGGCAGCAGUCGAGAAUAAUUCACAAUGGGGGCAACCCUGAUGGUGCAACGCCGCGUGGAGGAUGAAGGUCUUAGGAUUGUAAACUCCUGUCAUCUGGGAGUAAGGCUUGGUUGUGAAUAGCAAACAAGAUUGAUAGUACCAGAAGAGGAAGGGACGGCUAACUUCGUGCCAGCAGCCGCAGUAACAC